AACUAACGCUGGCGGCGUGCCUAACACAUGCAAGUCGUACGAGAAAGCCGGCUUCGGCUGGUGAGUAAAGUGGCGCACGGGUGAGUAACGCGUGGAUAAUCUGCCCUUAAGUGUGGAAUAACGUACCGAAAGGUGCGCUAAUACCGCAUAAUGCCUGGCAACACAAGUUGUCCGGCCAAAGAAGGCCUCUGUUUACAAGCUUUCGCUUCAGGAUGAGUCCGCGUACCAUUAGCUUGUUGGUGGGGUAAUGGCCUACCAAGGCUGCGAUGGUUAGCUGGUCUGAGAGGAUGAUCAGCCACACUGGAACUGAGACACGGUCCAGACUCCUACGGGAGGCAGCAGUGAGGAAUAUUGCGCAAUGGGGGCAACCCUGACGCAGCAACGCCGCGUGAGUGAGAAGGUUUUCGGACUGUAAAGCUCUGUCGAGCGGGAAGAAGUGUACCAUGGCUAAUAUCCAUGAUAUUUGACGGUACCGCUAGAGG
rnacentral:rRNA from 1 species